GGGGUUGUGACUCAGCAGUAGAGCGCUCGCCUUGAAUGUGAGAGACCGGGUUCAAUCCUCAGCACCA
rnacentral:tRNA from 1 species